rnacentral:rRNA from 1 species
UACGUAGGGUGCGAGCGUUGUCCGGAUUUAUUGGGCGUAACGGGCUCGUAGGCGGCGUGUCGCGUCGGGAGUGAAAGACCGGGGCUUAACCCCGGUUCUGCUUCCGGUACGGGCAUGCUGGAGUGUGGCAGGGGAGACUGGAAUUCCUGGUGUAGCGGUGGAAUGCGCAGAUAUCAGGAGGAACACCGGUGGCGAAGGCGGGUCUCUGGGCCAUUACUGACGCUGAGGAGCGAAAGCGUGGGGAGCGAACAGG